GACGAACGCUGGCGGCGUGCUUAACACAUGCAAGUCGAACGGUGAAGCGCCUUCCUUUUUGGUGGGUGUGGAUGAGUGGCGAACGGGUGAGUAACACGUGAGUAACCUGCCCCCUUCUUCUGGAUAACCGCAUGAAAGUGUGGCUAAUACGGGAUAUUCUGGGUCUGUCGCAUGAUGGGUCUGGGAAAGAUAUUGUUUCGGUGGGGGAUGGGCUCGCGGCCUAUCAGCUUGUUGGUGGGGUGAUGGCCUACCAAGGCGGUGACGGGUAGCCGGCCUGAGAGGGUGGACGGGCACACGGGGACUGAGACACGGCCCAGACUCCUACGGGAGGCAGCAGUGGGGAAUAUUGCACAAUGGGCGCAAGCCUGAUGCAGCGACGCCGCGUGAGGGAUGGAGGCCUUCGGGUUGUGAACCUCUUUCGCCAGUGAAGCAGGCCUGCCUCGUUUGUGGGUGGGUUGACGGUAGCUGGAUAAGAAGCGCCGGCUAACUACGUG
rnacentral:rRNA from 1 species